UAGGGAAUCUUCCGCAAUGGGCGAAAGCCUGACGGAGCAACGCCGCGUGAGUGAUGAAGGUCUUCGGAUCGUAAAACUCUGUUAUCAGGGAAGAACAAAUGUGUAAGUAACUGUGCACAUCUUGACGGUACCUGAUCAGAAAGCCACGGCUAACUACGUGCCAGCAGCCGCGGUAAUACGUAGGUGGCAAGCGUUAUCCGGAUUUAUUGGGCGUAAAGCGAGCGCAGGCGGUUAGAAAAGUCUGAAGUGAAAGGCAGUGGCUCAACCAUUGUAGGCUUUGGAAACUGUUUAACUUGAGUGCAGAAGGGGAGAGUGGAAUUCCAUGUGUAGCGGUGAAAUGCGUAGAUAUAUGGAGGAACACCGGUGGCGAAAGCGGCUCUCUGGUCUGUAACUGACGCUGAGGCUCGAAAGCGUGGGGAGCGAACAGG
rnacentral:rRNA from 1 species